UACGUAGGGGGCAAGCGUUGUCCGGAAUCAUUGGGCGUAAAGCGCGUGUAGGCGGCCCGGUAAGUCCGCUGUGAAAGUCCAGGGCUCAACCCUGGAAUGCCGGUGGAUACUGUCGGGCUCGAGUCCGGAAGAGGCGAGUGGAAUUCCUGGUGUAGCGGUGAAAUGCGCAGAUAUCGGGAGGAACACCGAUGGCGAAGGCAGCACUCUGGGCCGGCACUGACGCUGAGGAGCGAAAGCGUGGGGAGCGAACAGG
rnacentral:rRNA from 1 species